rnacentral:rRNA from 1 species
UACGGGGGGGGCAAGCGUUGUUCGGAUUUACUGGGCGUAAAGGGCGCGUAGGCGGUCCGCCCACGUCCGUUGUGAAAUCUCCGGGCUUAACCCGGAAAGGUCAGCCGAUACUGCAGGGCUAGAGUGCAGAAGGGGCAACUGGAAUUCUCGGUGUAGCGGUGAAAUGCGUAGAUAUCGAGAGGAACACCUGCGGCGAAGGCGGGUUGCUGGGCUGACACUGACGCUGACAGCGCGAAAGCUAGGGGAGCGAACGGG